CCCUUAGAUGUUCUGGGCCGCACGCGCGCUACACUGAAUGGAUCAACGUGUUUUCCCUUCCCGAGAGGGACGGGUAACCCGCUGAACCCCAUUCGUGGUAGGGAUCGGAGCUUGCAAUUGUUCUCCGUGAACCAGGAAUUCCCAGUAAGCGCAAGUCAUAAGCUUGCGUUGAUUACGUCCCUGCCCUUUGUACACACCGCCCGUCGCUCCUACCGAUUGAAUGGUCCGGUGAAAAUUUCGGAUACCGGCAUUGCUGGCGGUUCGCCGCCGGCGACGCUGGUAGAAGAUCUUUAAACCUUAUCAUUUAGAGGAAGGAGAAGUCGUAACA
rnacentral:rRNA from 1 species